CCUACGGGAGGCAGCAGUGAGGAAUAUUGGACAAUGGGCGCAAGCCUGAUCCAGCCAUGCCGCGUGCAGGAAGACGGUCCUAUGGAUUGUAAACUGCUUUUAUACAGGAAGAAACACCUCUACGUGUAGAGACUUGACGGUACUGUAUGAAUAAGCAUCGGCUAACUCCGUGCCAGCAGCCGCGGUAAUACGGAGGAUGCAAGCGUUAUCCGGAAUCAUUGGGUUUAAAGGGUCCGUAGGCGGUUUAAUAAGUCAGUGGUGAAAGCCCAUCGCUCAACGAUGGAACGGCCAUUGGUACUGUUAAACUUGAAUUAUUAGGAAGUAACUAGAAUAUGUAGUGUAGCGGUGAAAUGCUUAGAGAUUACAUGGAAUACCAAUUGCGAAGGCAGGUUACUACUAAUAUAUUGACGCUGAUGGACGAAAGCGUGGGGAGCGAACAGGAUUAGAUACCCUGGUAGUCCACGCCGUAAACGAUGGAUACUAGCUGUUCGGAGCAAUCUGAGUGGCUAAGCGAAAGUGAUAAGUAUCCCACCUGGGGAGUACGUUCGCAAGAUGAAACUUAGAAAGUAUAGCGNGAGAGAGACGACGACGACGACGAGGAGGAGGAG
rnacentral:rRNA from 1 species